rnacentral:rRNA from 1 species
UACGUAGGGACCAAGCGUUGUUCGGAUUUACUGGGCGUAAAGCGCACGUAGGCGGAUUGUUAAGUCGGGGGUGAAAUCCUGGAGCUCAACUUCAGAAUUGCCUUCGAUACUGGCUUUCUAGAGGCUGGAAGAGGUUAGUGGAAUUCCCAGUGUAGAGGUGAAAUUCGUAGAUAUUGGGAAGAACACCAGUGGCGAAGGCGGCUAACUGGUCCAGAUCUGACGCUGAGGUGCGAAAGCGUGGGGAGCAAACAGG